UCCACUUUAGAAAAUUAAACAUGUUAUGUUCAAUAUAAGUGUGAUUAUGGCAAGUUCUAAACGACCAUAGCUACCAAAUUGAGAACAUCUACAGGUAAAUACACGUUUAAGCAUGAAGAUCGUGUUUUGUCUACUUUAGGAAAUGUUAUGCUCAAUAUCAGUGAGAUUAUAACAUAUGCUUUAUGGAAAGAAGUUAUCCAUUGAUACAGAUGUUAAAUGAAUGAUUGAGAUAUAAUGUUGGAUAUACAUGUACAAUUUCCCGAACUAAUCAUUUCUGUAUCAUUGCAUCACCAUGAGUAUUAGAGAUUCCGUUUGUGUAAUAGGUGGCGUUUUGCUAGGAGGUGGAAUUUGUUAUAAAUUAUUCAUGUCAGAAGGCCCACAACCGGUGCCAAUGCCGCCAGAUUUACCACUGGGACCAACUCCUCCAGAUCCACAACCGGUGUUAACGCCUCCAGAUCAAUGUAAUUUUCACACAGACAUUGUAAUACUACACGCAAAUACAGACCAGAGUGAAGCCGAUGAGUGUAAAACAUUCCUAAUGAAUAAUUUUCCUGAUAUCUCUAAUUUACAAGUUGUACUACCAGAAGAUUUGUUAGCACCCGGAAGUCAACGUCUGCCCGGACUAAGUUCUAUCUUAGACUCAUGUCGAUUAGUGUUCAUCUAUCUAACUGAAAAUAUCGAAUCAGACACAGUUGCAGGGUUUGGAAGUCAAAUAAAUCUCAUUCAGUCGUUGGAAGAUCCACAGAAAGCAAACAGAAUAAUCCCAUUACAAGUGAAUGAAGGAAACAUAUUAGUCGAAUUAUCCCCACUCAUACCUCUAAAAUAUGUUAAAGACACAACUGAUUAUCAGUUUCCCAUUUUCAAACGGAAGUUAGAAAAUUAAGUAAAAUCUUGGAGGAAUAUAUUGCCAUGAGAUCUAAAGAAUAGAAAAAUGUAUAAAUAAAAAAAAAAUGGAAAUGAUAUAUAAACUUAUAAAUUUUGUUCGAAUUUGUAUUAGAUAAUUGGAAAAUACAACGGACGCAAUAACAUGAUUGGAGACACAAAAUCCCAAAAAAUAUACCAAAAACAAAAGUUCAAGCUUACAAUUUAUUAAAGUUUGAGCAACAUUAUUUUUUCAACCUGAUUUUUGUACAAUGUAUUAUUUGAUGUUGGUUUUGAAAUAACUUCCAGUAACUGCGAGAGUACUCUCAGAUCAGUACAUUGUACGUGUCAGAAUUGUUUUUGUAAAUUAUUUUUGAUAAUUUCUAUCGAUAUGAUGUGUCACCCUCUUUUCAAUUGAAUUUUAUAGUUUUUUUCUUAUUAUGUGCUGUCACACUACUGUCUGAGGUAAGGGGCGCCGGCACACAUGUAUAACCUCGCCUUUUUGUAUGUGCCUGUCGUUUGUUAGGAGCCUGUAACUCAGUGAUUGUCUUUUGUUGUUGUAUAUCAUAGCUGUGUUUCGUUUAUUUUUUUGUACAUUUAUCAGGCCUUUGUUUUUUUUUUCGUUUGUAUUACAUUUUGUUGUGUCGUGUCGCAACUCUUUACAGCUUGCUAUGCGGUAUGGGUUUUGCUCUUUGUUUGUCCCACACCGCUAGUAGUUUCAAUCUUGAAAUUGGUGUUACCUUUUGCAAAAUAACAUUUUGAAUAACUUUCUACCUGUAGGUGUGUUGAUAAUUUAUAAGCACUUAUUUGUAAAGACCAUGCUGUCGUAUAGUUUUCGUAUUAAAGUGUGUUUCGUAAUGAUUCUUUAACAGGACUGUGACUUCAACCUUUUUAUGCACAUAAAAGAUGCUGUUGAGAAUUUUAUGUGCACACUUCUUUGUCUACAGAGCAAUUAUUUGAGUUAUGAACUUCUUUUAGCAAUGUCUACUUAAUUUUGUUGAGGUUUGAAAUGUAAAUAUGAAACAAACGAGCGGUUCGUUUGAAAGUAAAAGAUUUGGGAAAUUUCUUUUGCACUCAUUAGAGGAGAACACGUUAGAAUAGUGUUUGAAACAAUUUUUGAAAUAAAAAUGAAAAUACAUAUUUUCAUGACAUUCUU